rnacentral:lncRNA from 1 species
AAGCUUGGUUAAAAACAGAGUUAAAGGCAGUGGGAGUCCAAGGAGAGGGUCUGAAGUUCACGACUACUAGAAGGGGAGGGGAGUGGAAAGGAUCUCAGUGAAAAAGGUAUGGAACCCUUCAGAUCAAAGCUUACCAAUAAAUUCAGUAUGUAGAACAGAUUAGUGUAGUUGAAGUGGGGAAGAAUGAGAGUUAACUCAACCAGCCAGCACCCCCUACCC